rnacentral:rRNA from 1 species
AUUGUCUAAGACUAGCCAUGCACGUCUAAGUACAAACUAAAUGAUGGUGAAACUGCAAAUGGCUCAUUACAACGGUUAUGAUGUACCCGGGGGUUCCGAUGGAUAUUUCCAGUAACACUAGAACUAAUACAUGUCCCUGCGUUUAUUAGUUUCGCACAGUCCGUCGCUGAGUCAUGGUAAACAGUUGAUCGACUCGACGUCCCGGAACAGUUUCCGCCCCAUCAGCUUCGAUGGUUGGGUAUUGGCCUACCAUUGCAACAACGGGUAACGAGGAAUUAGGGUUUGAUUUCGGAGAGGGAGCCUGAGAAACGGCUACCACAUCUACGGAUGGCAGCAGGCGCGCAAAUUACCCAAUGCAGACACUGUGAGGUAGUGACGAGAAAUAAUAAAGCGGGACUUCUGUUUCGCUAUUAUAAUGAGGAAUAACCAAAGGUCAUUCCGAUUAGCAACUGAUGGGAAAGUCUGGUGCCAGCAGCCGCGGUAAUACCAGCGUCAGUAGC